AGUGGGUGAGAGGAGCAUGGGGAGCCCCCGGGAGGCCGCCCGUGCGCCGGCCAGGUCCCCGGCUUGGGCCUCCACUCAGGCCAGUACUCCGGGCGCGGCCCUGGCGGUUCAGCGCGAAUCUCCAGAAUCUGGUCUCCAGGAACAUUAUUCUAAUCUGUGUAUGGAAAAAUCCCAGAAAAUUAAUCCUUUUAUAUUGCAUAUACUCCAAGAAGUGGAUGAAGAAAUUAAAAAGGGGCUAGCAGCAGGAAUCACAUUAAACAUUGCUGGUAACAAUCGCUUAGUGCCAGUAGAAAGAGUUACAGGUGAAGAUUUUUGGAUUCUUUCCAAAAUUUUAAAGAAUUGUCUGUAUAUUAAUGGUUUGGAUGUUGGAUAUAACCUUCUAUGUGACGUUGGUGCAUACUAUGCUGCGAAACUGCUUCAGAAACAACUUAAUCUCAUUUACUUAAACCUCAUGUUUAAUGAUAUUGGGCCCGAAGGUGGAGAAUUGAUUGCUAAAGUGCUACAUAAGAAUCGGACUCUGAAAUACCUAAGAAUGACUGGAAACAAAAUUGAAAAUAAAGGUGGAAUGUUUUUUGCUGCAAUGCUGCAAAUUAAUUCAUCCUUAGAGAAAUUAGAUCUGGGUGACUGUGAUCUGGGAAUGCAAAGUGUGAUAGCAUUUGCUACAGUACUAACUCGAAACCAAGCAAUUAAGGCAAUAAACCUAAACCGACCUAUACUGUAUGGUGAACAGGAAGAGUCUACAGUCCAUGUAGGCCGCAUGUUGAAAGAAAAUCACUGUCUUGUUGCACUACACAUGUGUAAGCAUGAUAUAAAAAACAGUGGUAUACAACAGUUAUGUGAUGCACUGUAUCUGAACAGUAGCCUGCGCUACCUUGAUGUCAGCUGCAACAAAAUAACUCAUGAUGGAAUGGUGUAUUUGGCUGAUGUACUGAAAAGCAACACUACCCUGGAAGUAAUAGAUCUUUCCUUUAACAGAAUAGAAAAUGCAGGCGCAAACUAUCUCAGUGAAACUCUUACUUCACACAACAGGAGUCUUAAAGCGUUAGUAUGGUUUUAUAUUUAAUCAAAAUAACAGAAAAGCAAAUUUUUAAAUACUAACCUCAAUCCCCUUAACUCUUAAGAUUAUAAUGAAAUAUGAAAACUCAGCUUCUAAACUGACAUAGUAUUAAGUUACAGUAAACAUUUACAUUUCUGUUUUUCAAAUGUAAUGUAUUUUACAAUUAGACUGAUUCUAUUAACGAUUCCUUCAAAUUAAUGAGAAAAUUUGUAUUGCUUAUAUUACUUAUCCUAAAUUCUAAUAGAAAACUCAGAAGCAUUCAAUAUGAUCAAGACUUUUAAAAAUAAGAAUGAACUAAAGAAUAAAAUACUUGGAUGCAUUUAUCCAGAAAAAUAUAUCUGCUAUCCACCCAAACAUUUACUGAAUAAUAUAAAACAGAAGACUUUCAAAAUGUAGUUAGCUCUACUAAGUACCUUAA
rnacentral:sRNA from 1 species